UACGGGGGGGGCAAGCGUUGUUCGGAAUUAUUGGGCGUAAAGGGCGCGUAGGCGGCUUAACAAGUCAGUUGUGAAAUCUCCGGGCUUAACUCGGAACGGCCAAGUGAAACUGUCAAGCUAGAGUGCAGAAGGGGCAAUCGGAAUUCUUGGUGUAGCGGUGAAAUGCGUAGAUAUCAAGAGGAACACCUGAGGUGAAGGCGGGUUGCUGGGCUGACACUGACGCUGAGGCGCGAAAGCCAGGGGAGCAAACGGG
rnacentral:rRNA from 1 species